AGAGUUUGAUCAUGGCUCAGAUUGAACGCUGGCGGCAGGCCUAACACAUGCAAGUCGAACGGUAACAGGAAUCAGCUUGCUGAUUUGCUGACGAGUGGCGGACGGGUGAGUAAUGUCUGGGAAACUGCCUGAUGGAGGGGGAUAACUACUGGAAACGGUAGCUAAUACCGCAUAAUGUCGCAAGACCAAAGAGGGGGACCUUCGGGCCUCUUGCCAUCGGAUGUGCCCAGAUGGGAUUAGCUAGUAGGUGGGGUAACGGCUCACCUAGGCGACGAUCCCUAGCUGGUCUGAGAGGAUGACCAGCCACACUGGAACUGAGACACGGUCCAGACUCCUACGGGAGGCAGCAGUGGGGAAUAUUGCACAAUGGGCGCAAGCCUGAUGCAGCCAUGCCGCGUGUAUGAAGAAGGCCUUCGGGUUGUAAAGUACUUUCAGCGGGGAGGAAGGGAGUAAAGUUAAUACCUUUACUCAUUGACGUUACCCGCAGAAGAAGCACCGGUACUCAGGACUCAUCGG
rnacentral:rRNA from 1 species